rnacentral:rRNA from 1 species
CAGUAGCCGCGGGAACACGGAGGGGGCUAGCGUUGUUCAGAAUUACUGGGCGUAAAGCGCACGUAGGCGGCUUGGUAAGUUAGAGGUGAAAGCCCGGAGCUCAACUCCGGAAUUGCCUUUAAGACUGCCGAGCUAGUAGGUGAGAGAGGUAAGUGGAAUUCCGAGUGUAGAGGUGAAAUUCGUAGAUAUUCGGAAGAACACCAGUGGCGAAGGCGGCUUACUGGCUCAUUCUAGACGCUGAGGUGCGAAAGCGUGGGGAGCAAACAGGAUUAGAUACCACAGUAGUCCCUGUCUCUUAUAC